CCCUCCAGAUCCUCCUCCUACUCCCGCUCAGGAUUCAACUCCAGUCACCAAAAGGCAAAUAUUCCCAAAAUCUUUUUCCUCUGUUCUUCUUAAACCCUAAAUCCCAAAACUUUGAUUUCCCUCUCUCGCGGAAUUUCAAUUUUCAUCACCCUGCCUCUCGCGGAAUCUGAAGGCUCAGCCAUAUGGCAGGCAGGCCAGUGAUUGUGUAGCUAUCUUCUAAAACUUGUCGACUUCCACACCGACAGAACCCGACUGCUUACGAAUCGAAUUCUGAAAGGCGAGUUUUUUACUCUGCUUCUGCUUGUUUCAGUGGCAAUCAUAUGUUUUUACUUUUGGAAAUUGAAUUUGUUUGAAUUUUGUUUCUUCAAGGUUGAUGGAAUGGCCGGUGUUGGGGAAAUAACGGCUGCUUCUGCAUUCCUACAGGCAGAGCCUUUUUUUGCAUAGAAAUUCUUUUGAAGGAAGAAGCGAUGUGCUCUUGGGCACGCUUCACAGGCGGAAUGCAGCAGUGGCUUUUGGUUCUUAAGUGGCUUCUUCAGCUUGUGAGGCCUAGAAUUUGUUGAGGUUUGGCCUCAGUUGUCAUUUACAACAGCUUGGUCUUCUAAUGCCGUGUCAAUUUGCAGAGCAUUUGGUUUGACAGAGGCGACUCAUUUGGAGGACUCAAGGAGGAAACUAGUUUUCGUUUGGUAAAAUUUUGAUGAUUGGCUUGUCGUGGGGUUCUAGAUAAAGAAGUGCUGAAAGCCAGGCAUGUGCCUUCAUGGGAAUUGUCAGUACAUGAUUGUCACCUACACACCAAAAGUGGCAGUAAUUUGAGAUGGCAGCAAUGGGGACAGAGAAUUGGCUGCAGCAUUUUAUGCGUCUGGUUUUGAACCAUGGGAUGUUACAAGGUCAGGCCUUCUUCAUGGAGCCAUAUGACUGGAUAAAUUGCAUGGUGUUGUGUUUGUUGUGGGCUUUAGCUAUGCUGAUGUGCUUGAUUCUGUGGAAGGUUGGUCUGCUUCAGUUCGAUUUAAUUAGCCCAUUUUAAAUCAAUUUCAGGAGUUUUACAAGCGACCAGACCCUUUUUAAGUCUUGGUGUUUGCAAUGGGUGUCAGCUUAUGGCCCUUUUGGGGUGUGUCCUAGGCCCUCAAAUUGGUGGUGUGCUAGGUGGUGGCGGGGACGCUUCACACCCCAGGUUCAUUCACAACAAGUCUAGACGUUUUGAAGGCCUAGUCACCGGCUAUAAUGUUUAGAGGUAUGGAGGGCAGUACAUUGGGUGUUUGGGCUGCCUCUGAUGAGGG